rnacentral:rRNA from 1 species
GCGUGAAGUUGGAAUCGCUAGUAAUCGCGGAUCAGCAUGCCGCGGUGAAUACGUUCCCGGGCCUUGUACACACCGCCCGUCACACCAUGAGAGUCGGGAACACCCGAAGUCCGUAGCCUAACCGCGAAGGGGGGCGCGGCCGAAGGUGGGUUCGAUAAUUGGGGUGAAGUCGUAACAAGGUACC